UACAGAGGUCCCAAGCGUUGUUCGGAUUCAUUGGGCGUAAAGGGUGUGUAGGCGGGUCUAUAAGUCAGUGGUGAAAUCUCCGGGCUCAACCCGGAAACUGCCAUUGAUACUAUAGGUCUUGAAUAUUGUGGAGGUGGGCGGAAUGUGUCAUGUAGCGGUGAAAUGCUUAGAGAUGACACAGAACACCGAUUGCGAAGGCAGCCCACUACGCAACUAUUGACGCUGAGGCACGAAAGCGUGGGGAUCAAACAGG
rnacentral:rRNA from 1 species